rnacentral:pre_miRNA from 1 species
AGUGGAAUUGCUAGGUCAUAUGGUAACUGUAUGCUUGACUGUUUGAAGAAAUGCCAAACUAUUUUCCAAAGUAGCUGCACCAUUUUACAAUCCCACCAGCAAU